rnacentral:rRNA from 1 species
GACGAACGCUGGCGGCGUGCUUAACACAUGCAAGUCGAACGAAGUGGCGAACGGGUGAGUACCGCGUAAUCAACCUGCCCUUCAGAGGGGGACAACGGUUGGAAACGACUGCUAAUACCGCAUACUGAAGGCGGGGAUUGCGUUUGAUUAGCUAGUUGGAGGGGUAACGGCCCACCAAGGCGAUGAUCAUUCACCGGUCUUAGAGGAUGAACGGCCACAUUGGGACUGAGACACGUCCCAGACUCCUACGGGAGGCUGCAGUGGGGAAUCUUCCGCAAUGGACGAAAGUCUGACGGUGCAACACCGCGUGAGUGAUGACGGCCUUCGGGUUGUAAGGCUCUGUUAAUCGGGACGCGGUACCGGAAUAGAAAGCCAUGGCUAACGACGUGCCAGCAGCCGCGGUAAUUC